GGAGCUUGCUCCCGGAUUCAGCGGCGGACGGGUGAGUAACACCUGGGAAUCUGCCUGGUAGUGGGGGAUAACGUCCGGAAACGGGCGCUAAUACCGCGUACGUCCUACGGGAGAAAGCAGGGGAUCUUCGGACCUUGCGCUAUCAGAUGAGCCCAGGUCGGAUUAGCUAGUAGGUGAGGUAAUGGCUCACCUAGGCGACGAUCCGUAACUGGUCUGAGAGGAUGAUCAGUCACACUGGAACUGAGACACGGUCCAGACUCCUACGGGAGGCAGCAGUGGGGAAUAUUGGACAAUGGGGGCAACCCUGAUCCAGCCAUGCCGCGUGUGUGAAGAAGGUCUUCGGAUUGUAAAGCACUUUAAGUUGGGAGGAAGGGCUUUAGGUUAAUACCCUGAAGUUUUGACGUUACCAACAGAAUAAGCACCGGCUAACUCUGUGCCAGCAGCCGCGGUAAUACAGAGGGUGCAAGCGUUAAUCGGAAUUACUGGGCGUAAAGCGCGCGUAGGUGGUUCAGUAAGAUGGGUGUGAAAUCCCCGGGCUUAACCUGGGAACUGCUUUCAUAACUGCUGAGCUAGAGUACGGUAGAGGGUAGUGGAAUUUCCUGUGUAGCGGUGAAAUGCGUAGAUAUAGGAAGGAACACCAGUGGCGAAGGCGACUACCUGGACUGAUACUGACACUGAGGUGCGAAAGCGUGGGGAGCAACAGGAUUAGAUACCCUG
rnacentral:rRNA from 1 species